rnacentral:rRNA from 1 species
GCAGCAGUGGGAAUUUGACAAUGGCGAACCCUGAUCCAGCCAUCCCGCGUGUAUGAUGAAGGCCUUCGGGUUGUAAAGUACUUUGGCAGAGAAGAAAAGGUAUCCCCUAAUACGGGAUACUGCUGACGGUAUCUGCAGAAUAAGCACCGGCUAACUACGUGCCAGCAGCCGCGGUAAUACGUAGGGUGCAAGCGUUAAUCGGAAUUACUGGGCGUAAAGCGUGUGUAGGCGGUUCGGAAAGAAAGAUGUGAAAUCCCAGGGCUCAACCUUGGAACUGCAUUUUUAACUGCCGAGCUAGAGUAUGUCAGAGGGGGGUAGAAUUCCACGUGUAGCAGUGAAAUGCGUAGAUAUGUGGAGGAAUACCGAUGGCGAAGGCAGCCCCCUGGGAUAAUACUGACGCUCAGACACGAGAGCGUGGGGAGCAAACAGGAUUAGAUACCCUGGUAGUCCACGCCCUAAACGAUGUCAACUAGCUGUUGGGGCCGUUAGGCCUUAGUAGCGCAGCUAACGCGUGAAGUUGACCGCCUGGGGAGUACGGUCGCAAGAUUAAAACUCAAAGGAAUUGACGGGGACCCGCACUAGCGGUGGAUGAUGUGGAUUAAUUCGAUGCAACGCGAAAAACCUUACCUACCCUUGACAUGUCUGGAAAGCCGAAGAGAUUUGGCCGUGCUCGCAGAGAACCGGAACACAGGUGCUGCAUGGCGGUCGUCAGCUCGUGUCGUGAGAUGUUGGGUUAAGUCCCGCAACGAGCGCAACCCUUGUCAUUAGAUGCUACGCAAGAGCACUCUAAUGAGACUGCCGGUGACAAACCGGAGGAAGGUGGGGAUGACGUCAAGUCCUCAUGGCCCUUAUGGGUAGGGCUUCACACGUCAUACAAUGGUCGGGACAGAGGGUCGCCAACCCGCGAGGGGGAGCCAAUCUCAGAAACCCGAUCGUAGUCCGGAUCGCAGUCUGCAACUCGAUUGCGUGAAGUGGAAUCGCUGUAAUCGCGGAUCAGAAUGUCGCGGUGAAUACGUUCCCGGGUCUUGUACACACCGCCCGUCACACCAUGGGAGUGGGUUUCACCAGAAGUAGGUAGCCUAACCGUAAGGAGGGCGCU